CCUACGGGCGGCAGCAGUAGGGAAUCUUCCACAAUGGGCGAAAGCCUGAUGGAGCAACGCCGCGUGGGUGAAGAAGGUCUUCGGAUCGUAAAACCCUGUUGUUAGAGAAGAAAGUGCGUGAGAGUAACUGUUCACGUUUCGACGGUAUAUAACCAGAAAGCCACGGCUAACUACGUGCCAGCAGCCGCGGUAAUACGUAGGUGGCAAGCGUUAUCCGGAUUUAUUGGGCGUAAAGGGAACGCAGGCGGUCUUUUAAGUCUGAUGUGAAAGCCUUCGGCUUAACCGGAGUAGUGCAUUGGAAACUGGGAGACUGGAGUGCAGAAGAGGAGAGUGGAACUCCAUGUGUAGCGGUGAAAUGCGUAGAUAUAUGGAAGAACACCAGUGGCGAAAGCGGCUCUCUGGUCUGUAACUGACGCUGAGGUUCGAAAGCGUGGGUAGCAAACAGGAUUAGAUACCCGUGUAGUC
rnacentral:rRNA from 1 species